rnacentral:lncRNA from 1 species
CAGUCACUGGCUAUGGGGCCACCUGGGAGGGGUGUGUGAAUUCCCAGGCACUUGCAUCUCUGCAGGAGUGCAAGGGCGGGCCCCUGAAGUAGGUUUAAGUGAUCGCUCUUGGAGGUGAAGCAUAACGAAGCUGGGGGAGCAACAAGAAAUACCUUCAUCUUUUUAGAGAAGAGUGAAAUUGAAGCCAGAGAGGUUGGUUAACUUGCCCAAGAUCACAAAGCUUCCAAGAUGAAGAGCUGGGAUUUCAUUUCAGGUUUCCCAUCUGGCAACAUCCAAGCCCUUUCCAUAAUUCCACACUGUGAAUUUGCUUCCCAAACCAAGAGUGGGAUACAAUUAGCUGGGGAGUGCAACUCAUCCCUCAAUCACUGAUCUGAGUAUGGAUAUCAAAAGAAACAUUUCCUGAAGCAAGACGCUGAGCUGGAAGCUUCCACGGUUGUGCCUAUACUGUGGCAGUCCUGCGCGAACCUGUCCGGCCCCAUGGAAACCUGCAGGGCUGAGGUCUCCCAGGGCAAAUGGGGCUGCAGGAUGCUCACUACACCCCCAGAAACAGGAGAAGGGACAAGGACACAGGACUGUCUGUGAGCAACACUGACUUUCGGCACAGGAGAGAUCCUUUGCCCCUCCUCACUCCAGAAUAUUGCUAAGAACAUAAUUGAUCUCUCUCCUUCUCAUUCACUCACAUCUCCCAAAACAAAGGAAGAGAGACCCAUUCAACUGAUCAGAGCCUGACUUUCCAUUGCUGAGCCAUGUUUUACUACUGAGUGGGGCAACUGCUUUAAAAAUCCAUUUGUUGCUGCAUUUUCUUGCCAGCUAUUUCUUCAUUUACAGGGUUCUGAGAGGCCUGGCCUCUGCUUCCUCCGCCCAUCCAAUAAGUACCACCUGUCUGUUGAGGGGCUCAGUGGCUUCAAGGUUUCAACCCUGGCUACAUCAUGGAACCAUCUGGGGAGCUUUCCAAGUACUGAUGCCUGAACCUUAGUCACAGAUUAAUGGAAACCUGAGGAAUGGGGACCCAUGACCUGGAGUCUGUAAGGCUUCCCCAUUGAUGUGAUGCUUGGUGAAAUCUGUUUGGGACGUCACAGAAUUAUCAUCUAGAACACAGGUAAUCACUUUCCAAUAUUCUUUGAGACGGAGUCUCACUCUGUCGCCAGGCUGGAGUAGAGUGCGUGAUC